GACGAACGCUGGCGGCGUGCUUAACACAUGCAAGUCGAACGGAAAGGCCCUGCUUUUGUGGGGUGCUCGAGUGGCGAACGGGUGAGUAACACGUGAGUAACCUGCCCUUGACUUUGGGAUAACUUCAGGAAACUGGGGCUAAUACCGGAUAGGAGCUCCUGCUGCAUGGUGGGGGUUGGAAAGUUUCGGCGGUUGGGGAUGGACUCGCGGCUUAUCAGCUUGUUGGUGGGGUAGUGGCUUACCAAGGCUUUGACGGGUAGCCGGCCUGAGAGGGUGACCGGCCACAUUGGGACUGAGAUACGGCCCAGACUCCUACGGGAGGCAGCAGUGGGGAAUAUUGCACAAUGGGCGGAAGCCUGAUGCAGCAACGCCGCGUGCGGGAUGACGGCCUUCGGGUUGUAAACCGCUUUCGCCUGUGACGAAGCGUGAGUGACGGUAAUGGGUAAAGAAGCACCGGCUAACUACGUGCCAGCAGCCGCGGUGAUACGUAGGGUGCGAGCGUUGUCCGGAUUUAUUGGGCGUAAAGGGCUCGUAGGUGGUUGAUCGCGUCGGAAGUGUAAUCUUGGGGCUUAACCCUGAGCGUGCUUUCGAUACGGGUUGACUUGAGGAAGGUAGGGGAGAAUGGAAUUCCUGGUGGAGCGGUGGAAUGCGCAGAUAUCAGGAGGAACACCAGUGGCGAAGGCGGUUCUCUGGGCCUUUCCUGACGCUGAGGAGCGAAAGCGUGGGGAGCGAACAGGCUUAGAUACCCUGGUAGUCCACGCUGUAAACGGUGGGUACUAGGUGUGGGGUCCAUUCCACGGGUUCCGUGCCGUAGCUAACGCUUUAAGUACCCCGCCUGGGGAGUACGGCCGUAAGGCUAAAACUCAAAGGAAUUGACGGGGCCCCGCACAAGCGGCGGAGCAUGCGGAUUAAUUCGAUGCAACGCGUAGAACCUUACCUGGGUUUGACAUGGAUCGGGAGCGCUCAGAGAUGGGUGUGCCUCUUUUGGGGUCGGUUCACAGGUGGUGCAUGGCUGUCGUCAGCUCGUGUCGUGAGAUGUUGGGUUAAGUCCCGCAACGAGCGCAACCCUUGUUCACUGUUGCCAGCACGUUAUGGUGGGGACUCAGUGGAGACCGCCGGGGUCAACUCGGAGGAAGGUGGGGAUGACGUCAAGUCAUCAUGCCCCUUAUGUCCAGGGCUUCACGCAUGCUACAAUGGCUGGUACAGAGAGUGGCGAGCCUGUGAGGGUGAGCGAAUCUCGGAAAGCCGGUCUCAGUUCGGAUUGGGGUCUGCAACUCGACCUCAUGAAGUCGGAGUCGCUAGUAAUCGCAGAUCAGCAACGCUGCGGUGAAUACGUUCCCGGGGCU
rnacentral:rRNA from 1 species